AUGAAUGUUGAUGGUGGCCUCUCUAAGAUUGGUGAUCGAGGUGCUUCGACGGUUAUCUCCAGAGAUAGGCACGGUUUGUUCCUGGGUGCUUCCGCAGUCAUCUUUGAAGGUUUGCUUGACCCAACUAUACUUGAAGCCCAGGCCUGCAAUGAGGCCCUUGCUCUUGCUGCGGAUCUACAUGUUCAAUCUGUAUGUGUGGCAUCAGACUGCAUCGAGGUGGCAACCAAUAUUCAUACUGGUACCCCAUGCCGGUAUUUUGCUGUUUUGGAGGAGAUCAAGCAUCAAAGACGUUCCAUCAAACAUUCCCAAUUUGUGCAUGAGAAUAGAAAGCAUAAUGAGGAAGCUCAUGCCUUGGCUAAGGCAGCUGCCUCUCUCUCUUCCGGGCACCAUGUGUGGCUUACUUCUCUGCAUCCCUAUGUGUUUGAACAUUGA
rnacentral:rRNA from 1 species